GUGGUUCCCUGCGAGGAAAGCACCUUGCAAAGAUUUGUUUUAGCGAUGGGGGGAAUGUGGCGCUUGCGAGUUUGAGUUGUGGAUACGAAGUGAUCAAUCGAUUUCGGUUUUUUUUUAAUUGAAUGCGGCUCAUACCUUUGGAGCACAAGAGUAGGAAUCGAAAGGAUUUGGUUGCACUGAUGUCGAUCGAUCACCGCAGUGAUGUUUGAUAUAAGAGUUUAUGUUUGAUGUAAGGGUUUUUGUUCAGGUGAGUAGCACGAGGAAACUGAUAUGUUAAGCGCAGGGUUGAGGGCUGCGAGAAACUGACGCGUGAGAAAUGUCGGGACUGUUUCAUUUUAAGUACUGUUGUCAUUGUCUCUGAAGGCGUAUUGAAUCAAGCAGCGCCUUAGCAUUUCCGUUGCAGGUCAGUCUCUUAGGAUUUCCCGUUCGAGGGGAUUGUCGACGUGGAGACCUGACAAUCACUGCGCAUUCCUGAUCUAGGGCACGAAAGACGUCGUGUGAUCGACAGCUCUUUUUAAGAAAAGGCUAGUAAGUAACAGAAAUUGUUUUAGGGUCAUACCAAAUUUAAAGAACUUGUUCCUUACUGCGUUCGUUAUGUAUUAAAUGGAUAUUGAACGUCAGAAAUUUUGAUGAAAAACUUCCAGCUGUAAUGAGGUUGCUUCUUUGUUAUGUCUUGAUAUCAACACAGUGUUCAUUGUCGAUGUUGUGAGAUUGACCUCAAAAUUCUUACUUAAUACUUGUUUUUAAAUUACAAUGCAUUUCUGUGAAACAUGAAACGUGUGUUACUUGUGUUAAGUGAUUCUUUAUCACAAGAAUAUUUUUACUGAAAAAUCUUUUGUGAUUCCGUUCCUGUGACUUUGUUGUAGUUUAUUAUUACUUGUGAGAUACAUGAACAAGAUUGUAAAGGAAUCUUCGUGUCGAUAGAACAACCAUAGAAUAUUGGAAUAUGGUGCUUGCAUGUCCUUCUAGGCUCUCCGUGCUCACAGCAUUUCCUUUUUGCAAUGUAGGUUAUCACUUGCGUGAUAAAUGCUCCUAUAAUACGUGUUCAGAAUUUAGUUGUGCUUCUGAUUUACCUCAUUGAGGCUAAGGUCAGUGAGGCAUGCCGUGCCCUUGGAAAAUUUGAAAGACCGCCUUGUUCUGUUGGAAUCUUACCUUGAAUGGAUAGGGUCAAGUUUAUCUUCUGAACUUCUGCAGCAGAAAGUGUUUCUUUUGAAUCAAGAUCACAUGUAGUGUUUUAAAAACUAUUAUGUACUGCAACACUCGAAAUAGCAGUACGUGCCCUGGUGUUAAGCAAUGGUCGUCCCAAAUGGAAGGCAGGAGCUUUUUUAAUUGCAACUUGUUGAGUGGAGUACGAUUGAAGGGAAAUCAAUUUUUAAACUAAAAUUGAACAGGGUCCACUGAGAUAAAGAGAUUUGUGUUGAAAGAUCACGUUUUAUUUAAUUUUUCUAGUGUUUGGUCCUAGCAGAUAAUUACAAUUCUACGUGAAGUAAUCUCAGCAUUUUCAUUUUAAAAUUAGUUACAGCUUUGUUCUAAAGGACUCAGGGUGGGUGAAGAAUGUGCUCACUUAGCACGGAGAGCCGUGAAAAAUUGGGUAGUGUUGUGUUUGAUCUCACAGGGAACCAGCUCAAGUACAUACUAAGCACAGCACCUACAUGGGAUACGUGUGAACUUAGCUCUCUCUUCGUCCCUCUGAUUCACAGAGGGCUCUAUACGGAUCAUGUGCUCUAUCUUCUCUUUCAAUGUUACCAUUGACAUUUCUAAUCUGGUGUGAUGUCCCUCAGACUAAGCAAUGUGGUUCGUACUUGCAGCUAGGUUUGGAUGUAAGACUAGGUUUGAAUUGUGAAGCUUUUGCAUAACCAAUUUGCAACGGUAGUUGUUUUAGAUGCCUUCGCCUCGAGACAUUUUUAAACACGAGCAGCAUUUUAAAGAGUGGUUCAAUAAGGACCACAGUUAAGUUUCUUCCUGCCCCCUCCCAGUGAUUUGAGUUAGGCACUGCUUGACUCAAAGAGCCCCGGGGCUCUACUUCAGGUUCAAGAGAGAUGUUUUACUCGGAACGUUUGUCUCAUCCCUUCCAUCUUUUCAGAUAUAUCUUGCAUCACGUUCAGUCAUCUCUUUAUGAGUUUCUACCCUCCUGACCUCAAGGUUUAUGAGCUUGAAUAUGGUGACAACGUCGGUUAGGAAGUUCCCAGGUUUCAAGGGUCGACGCUGCGACACUCAAACUUCAUCGUGUUCCAGUCAGUCAGUUGUAUUCAAUUGAACAUGUCAUAUGAACAGGGCUGGAUGGGUAACACAUUUAGAUAAUUCGGUGCUCUUGGUCUAGUUCGUGAUCCCGUCAGAAGUCUUCACUCUAGGUAAGAAAUAUUUUAUUCAGGAUUAUUUAUUAGAGAAUGAAUCCAACACGAUUGUUUGGUGAAUUUGUUCAAAUAUUUAUUCUCGUAUUCAAUCAACCAACAAAAUUUAAUGCCCUUUGCAGGAGAGGCUCCAUUGUAAUGUAUUCCUGUCAUUUUACCCUGAACAAUUGGAGUCACUGUGAGAAACAUUCGACUUUAUUAAUUGUUCCAUUACUUGCCAGUAUUAACAGUGAAUUUGACUAAUUGGUCUUCCUAAAUACUUUUGAAGGUUAUCUGCUUCCUCUGAGAGGUCACUGCGAAGGCAAAAUCUUACGCCAAACUCCAUUUGAAUGACCUAGAUAAUAUCCUCAACUUACAGCAAUUUUAACUUGUUCAGGUUAAAUCUUUGCAGGAUCAUGGGAAUUUUCAGCAAUGGUAGUUCUUCGUGACCAUCGGGAUGGAAACGUCAAAUUGCUUUGAAAGAAACGAUGCAGGAUUCCUCAAUGCAAACUACAGUAAGGUAAGAGACCCAGAUUCCAUUUCCACCAACUGGAUCUCCAAAACCUCAUUACAAAAGACUUGGCCAAGUUCUUUGUGCACAAUUACGCACCAAAUGCAAUCGGUCUAAUCCCCUGCACCACCACCGCCACUACCGCCAAAACAAAUCUGGAGGGGUCCAAGUACAGUGUAGGAGCAUCUUUAAGUACUGUGCAGAACAAGUCCUGAGUUAUACUGGGGCAGUUCACAGGAGCUUUUGGACUUUGGAAGACGCUGAAGUUUUUGUAGGUCGUCGAGGUUAGGCCUUCCUACCUUCUGAGUUGUGUCCCUCUCUAAAACUCAGAUGGGUGCUGUUAGGUCUUUCUUCUGUAGAUUCUAGUUUUCUGUAGGCAGUUUUGCAAGACCAGCUUGGACUCUGUUUCUAAUAAAUUGAUGUGGUGGAAGGGAUUUAGUAAACAGAUCGGCUUGUUGAAAGCAUGUCGGGAUGUAGCUCACCUCCACACUUCUUCAGAUUUUUCCCGAAUGUAGUGAUGGUCGAGCUCGAUGUGCUUCGUCCUUUGAUGCAUGACUGGGUAACUAGUUUGAUACUGCUCAAGUUAUCAUAGAGUAGUGGUGUCGGUCUUGGAGUCUGCACUUGGAGUUCCUGUAACAGACGACAAAAAUAUGUGAUUUUUCUUUCUGCCUCCGACAGAAUCCAAUAUUCUGCUUCGGUUGACGACAGUCCUAAUGUGGACUGAAUUUUGCUUGUCCAGGCUAUGGGUGAAGACCUAGUUUGUAUAGAAUCCCUGAAGUUGAUUUCCUUUUCUAUUUCCCCCGCCCAGUCUGCAUCUGUGAAUACUAGGAGGUUGUUAUCAUCUGCUGUUGGGUAAAGUAUUCCAUAGUUCAUAGUCCCUUUCAGAUAUCUCAGAUUUUUUUUGUGGCUGCGAUUAGGUGAUCCUGUUGUGGAUUACCCAUGUAUCUCGAGACACAGCUGAUGGCGUAUUUUAUAUCCCAGCGACUUAUGGUUGCAUAGAGCAGUCCCCCAAUUAAGCUCCUGUACAUAUGUGGAUCAACUGCUGGAGUGCCAGUCUCCUUUCGAAGCUUGCCUUUCGGGUUCAUAGGAACUGGUAGGGUGUUGCAGGGCGUCAUCCCGAAUUUGUCCAACAGUUUUUGUAUAUAUUUCCUUUGGUGAAAGUAAACCCACAGUUGUCGUAAAUCAGGUGACUCGAAUAUUUUAUGUGUCAUCUCCCGUUAUGAUCAUCUACGUAGAGUACUACCACAUGUACUGUCACUUUUGAUAGAGAAAUAUAGAUUUGGGUCUUCUUUGCUUUUAGUUAGUCCCUGUGAUUGAAGGUACCCAUCAAUCUUGCUGUACCAGGCUUUGGGGGCCUGCCGCAACCCAUAUAAUGCUUUUUCAAGUUUACAUACCCUUGCUCUUUUCAUUCUAGAAUCCUGGAGGUACUGUCAUGUAGACUUCUUCAUUGAUUUUUCUGUUUAGAAAAGCAGUUUUGACAUCUAGGUGCUGCAGUUUCCACUGUUUUCUUGCAGCUAAUGCGAUUAUGCUUCUUAUGGUUGACUAUCUAACGACAAGUGCGAAUGUUUCUACAAAAUUGAUCCCUUCUUCUUGUUCGAAUCUGCGAGCUACAAGCCUUGCCUUUAGUUCCUCGACCUGUCCACUUGAUCCCACUUUUGACUUAAAAAUCGGUGUCUUUCCGACAUGUCAACUAAGUGCCAGGUCUAAUUUCGAGUUAUUGAGUCCAUCUCUUGGUCUAUCGCUAUUUCCCAUCCUUUGUGUUGAAUUGCCUGAUCAAAGGUUUCGGGUUCAAAUUCUGCGGUUUCUACUGUCAGUAGGUAAUUGUCUCUGAACCUGCUGUUUGGCCUCCUUUCUUGUGUUGGGUAUCUUCGUUCCCUCUGUUGGUUUGAUGUAUGUUCCGGAGUCAGCAUGCAAGUGUUGAGGACGUUUUUGAUGUGAGAGGCUGUCACCAUCAUCGUCAUUGUAACCUGUGAAUUGAUCAGUGGAGCUAGAGAGUGGAGGUGCAUUGUCCGAUGAGCAUUGAGUGGCAGGAAGUUCUAUUUGCUCAUCAUUUUUGGUUUCUCUAGGUUCCUAAUUUGGGAAUAGGGCCAGUUCUUCUAAUUUUCCGUCUUGAGGAUUGAUCUUGACAUAGCCUAUUUGGCUUUCGUCGAUGACUACAUCACGGCUAAUGUACAGUUUGCGUUUUACAGGAUCAAAAACUCUAUAUGCUUUUGAAUGCUCAUCGUAGCCUACGAAGAGACACCGCAGUGUUUUGCUAUCCAGUUUUGAUCUGCUUUCUCGUGGUAUGUGUAGGUAUGCUAUGACUCCAAAGAUUUUUAGGUUGUCUACCCCGGGCUUUGUUUUAGUGAAUCUUUGUUCAGGUGUAAUGCCAUGGUUAGCUCUUGUAGGACUAAUGUUUACAAGAUGGUUGGCUGUAUUUAUAACUUCCGUCUAGAGAAACCUAGGCAGUUUACAAGCAGCCGACAUUGAUCUAGCUCUCUCAACCAAGGUUCUAUUUUAUCUUUCACUCGCUCCAUUUUGCUGAGGUGUCCUAGCUAUUGUUAUUUGCCUUGCUAUUCCAUGGUUUGUCAAGAAGUUGCUGAAUUCAUGAGAUAGGUAUUCCCCUCUCCUGUCUGCGUAACAUUAGUAUUUUCUUGCCUGUUCCGGAUUCUACCCUUGAUUUAAAUUCUCUAAAUUUCCCGAAUGUUUCACUUUCAUUCUUCAUGAAGUAAACAAAGCUUUUCCUGGAGAAGUCGUCUGUAAAGACAACAAUGUAUCUUGAUCCAACUAAUGAGGGAGUUCGAAUAGGUCCAACAAGGUUAGAGUGAAUGAGUUGUAAUACAUGUGUGCUCAUGUGUGGUGAUGUUUUUGGGAAGCGCCCUCUGUGUUGACGUCCAGCUAGGUAGUCUCCACAGAUCUUCUUCGUAUAUCCAAGUAUGGGUAGGCCAAUGACUCUUGCUGCUCUCGAAAGGUGCUGAAGUCUUGCGUAAUGAAGAUGUCCAUAUCUGUUGUGUCAGAGAUGUAUGUCACCGUUGAAUGAUCUGUCAGCUUCUAGUGAUUUGUUUGUAAACCUGUAGAGACCAUUUGAUAAAUCCCGUUUUCCUAUGGCUAAUAUUGUCUGUUCUUUGUGAUUGUUCAGAAUGAUGCAUUGUGAGUCGGUGAAGACUAUGAUAUGUCCUUGUUCGGUUAGUGAACCUACUAAUAAGAGGCUACAUUUCAAGGUCGGCACAUAUAAAAUGUUUCCCAAUUUUAUUUCACCUCAGGCUGUUUUCACAGUGGAAGAACCCACGGCUUCAACUUGGGAUCCACAAUGAUGGUUGCCGUUGCUGAAUGGUGCAGUUCCUCCUCGGCCGUAGCUGCGUCCUCUUCGUCCUCCUCCUUGGAAGUAGCCUCCUUGUCUUGGAUAGAAUGAUCUCUGAAACUGUAUUGAUAGUGCCUUGUCCUGUUCGAGCUUUUGCUCUCGUACUGUCAUUCGGUGUGUCUCUGUUAAUAUUUUAUCCAUGAUUUCUUCGAAGGAUGGGUUUGUCAUGUACAUAACCCCUUAGAUUACCAUCUCAUAGCUCCUCGGCAGUCCAUUGAGAACAAUGUUGUUUAGUGUCUUGUCCUCAACUUUUUCCCCGAACGCCCUUAGUUGGUUUCUGAUGUCCAUCGCUUCAGACAGAUAAGUAUUGACUUCCUCUCCUUCCUCCAUCGUCAUGUUGUGUAGUUUGCUCAUGAGUAGCAUGAUUUGCUGCUGAUUGCCUGCUCCGAACAUGUUCUUCAACAUUGCCCAUGAGUCUGCAGGGUCAUCGUAAGAGGAGACGGAUCCGAUUAGACUGUCGGCUACUGACAUAAUAAUCCCGGUCUGAGCCCUCUGUUUUGCCUCUAUCAUUUUUAUUUCUGUGACAUACGACGUAUUAGUCAUGACUGCAGGCUAGGCGCAGGGUGUUCGCUUUACUUCCACUAGUGGCCACAGGUUCUCUCUCUUCAGAACCGCCGCCAUUUUUACUCUCCACACAUUGUAGUUUUGGAUCCCUAAUAAUCUAUUGCUGUCUCGUCCUUCGCAGUUUGACGAUCUGCUGCUCUCCGUCAUGUCUUUCUAUUUUCAGAUCUCAUUGCUAUUCUAGGACUGACUCUUGUUCUAUCUCUCUAGUACAUAGGUUAGAGAGCAAUGCUCACCCAAGUCUCCUAUUCUAAAUCUCGCUCUAAUACUAUGUUACAGCACACUUUAUGGAAAGCAAAUCCAAUAGGAGCAGGGCUAACCUUGCUUUUCAUUGAGUAAGAAGGUCCAUCAAAUACAUUUCCGCAAAACCCUAAAAUUAGGGUGCGCUGAACCUCGGUUGGCGUGGAUGACAAAUGAUGUUCAUUAGGCCAGGAGGUUCAUCGAGAGCAACAGGGGUGAGUUUCGCCAACACAUUGGUAUCCCAACUUAGAAUGGUCGAUUAUAAUGGUCAAGUCGAACGCAGGUUCAGAAUUCAGACGAGAAGGUUGAGUGCACUUGCACAGAUGUGCUGUAGAGGGCCAAAACCAGACAGACCCUACCAAAAGGCUAGUGUAUUUGGAAGAACAGCUACGACGUCCACGGUCAGAAAUCAACCUUCUCCAUCAUCGGGCCUCGAUGGUGGGCAACCAGUUUCACUAGUUACACGGUGCUUUUCCAUGAAUGAAGGUAAAGUCUAUUAAACCCAGUAGUGGCAGAUUCAACGCUGGUGUCGAGCUUGCGAUCCUGCUGUUCAGUGACUGCAGCAGGAUUGCACAGCACACGAAGAUGUGGGUUCAAACUUCCGAGCAGCCAAGACAACUCUACACCCACCCAAGUUUUGGGAUCGUCAUCGAAUUAUGAAAUACGAGAGCGUAUACAAAGCUCCCAAAAAACACAAUACAAGUUCCAAGGUCAUAGUGGACAUUGACCAAAGCUUGACAAAUCCAAACCAUGGUGUGCAAGUCCCGAGGUCGGUGACAGUACCCAACUGACAGCUGCGGUCCACAUGCCCAUGCUUGCGAGAGAGGACGUAGCAAUGGCUUGCUUGUCUUUUUGCAGUCAAAAUGCUAAAGUGUUAAUUCUUCUUCUUCUUCUUUUCCCCCCCAUGGCUACAGUUUCAGGGGUUGAAAUUGUGCAGUUUCAUUGUUCAAUUAUGGGUGUGAAUCAGACUUAGUGCUCAGGUAUUCUCAAAAGUACCGCCAGCCUUUUUUUUUUUAAUGAAGAAUGGGUAUCCUCUGAUGCACGGAGGAAGAAGGAAUCUUUGAAACUGUUCAACUUUCUGUUCUUUUCUGAAACAAAAACAUGUGUUCAUCCCACAUGAUUUCUUUUUCCUUUUC